AACGUAGCUAAUACCGGAUAAUAUUUUGAACCGCAUGGUUCAAAAGUGAAAGACGGUCUUGCUGUCACUUAUAGAUGGAUCCGCGCUGCAUUAGCUAGUUGGUAAGGUAACGGCUUACCAAGGCAACGAUGCAUAGCCGACCUGAGAGGGUGAUCGGCCACACUGGAACUGAGACACGGUCCAG
rnacentral:rRNA from 1 species